AUGGCUUUCUUCUCAUUCUAUAGAAGGCUCACUGAAUUAGCUUCUGAAGCAUCAAAAAAUCCUGAAAGGAGGAAAAUUAUGAGUGAGCGGAUAACCAAUUUGGAGAAAUUAAUAAUGGGCAUACCUUGCAUAGCAGAAAGUGAAGAACCAAAAAGUUCUUCAUCAGAGCUAGCAUCUGACACUGCAGCAGCUUUGAGUUUGGGUAGCAAUUCUCAGAACACACUAAAGGAUCCGGUAUACACAAAACCAAAAGGGAGAAUGAAGAAAACAGGAUGGCAAAAGGGCAUAGUUGAGGAAAUUAUAGCCAAACCAAAAAUGACUUGCUCUGGGUGUGGCAAACAAGGUCACAAGAUAACUGGAUGUAAACCAACAGAAGAGAAUGCAACUCAGAAAAUUAACAAGAGAGCUAGAAAGGAGAGCAUUGCAUUAGAUUCACAUCAUGAGAAGGCAAAGACGGCAAAGAAGACUAAAUGCAUUGAAAGAAAAGAAGGCAAUGCAAAGUCCAAGAAGAAGGCGUUGUAA
rnacentral:rRNA from 1 species